rnacentral:rRNA from 1 species
GCCUGCAUGAAGUCGGAAUUGCUAGUAAUGGCAGGUCAGCAUACUGCCGUGAAUACGUUCCCGGGCCUUGUACACACCGCCCGUCACACCAUGAGAGUUAGGAAUACCCGAAGCCUGUGAGCCAACUUUAUAAGAGGCAGCAGUCGAAGGUAGAACUAAUGAUUGGGGUGAAGUCGUAACAAGGUAGC